rnacentral:rRNA from 1 species
CCUACGGGAGGCAGCAGUGAAGAAUAUUGGUCAAUGGCCAUAAGGCUGAACCAGCCAAGUCGCGUGAAGGAAGAAGGAUCCAUGGUUUGUAAACUUCUUUUAUAGGGGAAUAAAGGUAUCCACGUGUGGAUAUUUGCAUGUACCCUAUGAAUAAGCAUCGGCUAACUCCGUGCCAGCAGCCGCGGUAAUACGGAGGAUGCGAGCGUUAUCCGGAUUUAUUGGGUUUAAAGGGUGCGUAGGUUGUUGUUUAAGUCAGCGGUGAAAGUUUGUGGCUCAACCCCGUCCGGCCGUUGAAACUGGGGGCCUUGAGUGGGCGAGAAGAAGGCGGAAUGCGUGGUGUAGCGGUGAAAUGCAUAGAUAUCACGCAGAACCCCGAUUGCGAAGGCAGCCUUCCGGCGCCCUACUGACGCUGAGGCACGAAAGUGCGGGGAUCGAACAGGAUUAGAUACCCCAGUAGUC